GAUCCUGGCUCAGAUUGAACGCUGGCGGCAGGCUUAACACAUGCAAGUCGAACGGUAACAUAAAGAAGCUCGCUUCUUUGAUGACGAGUGGCGGACGGGUGAGUAAUGCUUGGGAAUCUAGCUUAUGGAGGGGGAUAACUACGGGAAACUGUAGCUAAUACCGCGUAGAAUCGAGAGAUGGAAGUGUGGGACCUUCGGGCCACAUGCCAUAGGAUGAGCCCAAGUGGGAUUAGGUAGUUGG
rnacentral:rRNA from 1 species